CCUGAUCUUUACCUUCUUAGUGCCUGAAUCGAAGGGCAAGUCACUCGAGGAAAUCUCUGGCGAGAACGAAGACGAGGACCAGAUAGACUCCGCCGCUGUUUACAACAGGACGGUCCCUGUUUAGGAUUAGCUUCCGUCAUACUCUAUCCUCUCAUAGGUUGGUAAUGUAAUAUUAAUGGAUACCUAAUUAGCCGAACAGUAGUCGUUACCUCUUCUCGGUGUAAUAAGAUAUGAAACCAUAGGUGGAUGUAUGAAGUGCACUU
rnacentral:lncRNA from 1 species